rnacentral:lncRNA from 1 species
AUCGGGAGACGGAUUUCGCAGGUGCUGAGCUGCUGGGUGGGUGAGCCGGGAGCUGGUGGAGAGAACGCAAAGGCCGGAUGUCGUUUGGUUCUUAUCUGGAAGAUUUGAGGUUGCAAGAAGAGAACUUUCCUUCUCUGCAGUCAGGCAGAGCUCAAGGCAGGUCCUCAGCCUUGUAAGUGUUUCCCACGUGAGAAGCCAGCACCACCACCUUCAUCAAUAUCACCAUGACUUUCAUCGUCAUCACCAUUACAACCACCAUCAUUAAUAUCACCAUCACCUUCACGUAACUACCUCCACAACCACCAUUCUCAAUAUCACCAUCACCUUCAUUACCACCACUACAACCACCAUCAAUAUCACCAUCACCUUCAUCAUCACCACCACCACAACCACCAUCAAUAUCACCAUCACCUUCAUCACCACCACCAUCAUCAUCAAUAUCACUAUCACUUUCAUCAUCACCACCAGCACCACAACCACCAUCAAUAUCACCAUUACCUUCAUCAUCACCAUCACCUUCAUCACCACAACCACCAUCUCACAAUCACUUUCAUCAUCACCACCACCAUAACCAUCGUCAAUAUCACCAUCACCUUCAUCAUCACCACAACCACCAUCAACCAUAUCACCAUCACUUUCAUCAUCACCACCACCACAACCACCAUCAAUACCACCUUCAUCAUCACCACCACCACAAAUCACCAUCAUAUCACCCUCACUUUCAUCAUUACCACAAUCACCAUCAAUAUCACCAUCCCCUUCACCAUCACUACCAACACAGCCACCAUCAUCAAUAUCACCCUCAACUUUAUUAUCACCUCCACCAUCAGCAGCAGCAUCAACUUCAUCAUCACCAUCACCACCUCUGCCAUCAGCAGCAUCAUUAUUAUCUUCAUCAUCAUGGUUUCAGCCACAAUCGGAAUCAACAGCCGUCACCCAGAGUUGAAGGAGGAAUGUCACCCACAUGAGUGUGGAAUUUCAUCUGUCUGUUCGCUGCUGGAUCCCUGCUCUAAGUAAGAAAAGGACCUGUGGCAGAGUGAGCUCUGGAUGAGGAUUUGCUGAGGAAUUGAAUGAGGGAAAGACUCAGAGAAUGGAAUGCUGAGAAUUCUACAAUAAAUAUUUGAAUCCUAGAGUGUUGGAGUCAGGAGAAGCCCUCGGAAGCCAUCUAGACAAACCCAUUCAUUUGCAAAGGGGUAAACUGAGGCUGAGGAGAAAAAAGUGACUUGCUCCACAUCCCAAGGCCUGAGGGUCUUCUCCCUGCUCUGAUGGGAGAGGGACCCCCUUUGUGCUGUUGUGGGUAAAAUGGUGAUGUGUGGCUGGAGGGUGAAGGGGCUUCUUCUGCCCUUUGACUCAUUGCCUAGGAAAAUAGGGACAAAAGGCGCAAAUUUUUUCAAAAUGCAAACAACUAAAGACAACGUCAUUCAGUAGAGACAAAGUGGGUGUUUGGGUUGACAGAGAAACAGAAAAGCUUCCCUGAGGUUGAGGAGGGAAGAGGGGGCUUGAAGGUGGGUGAGCCCCAAAUGUGACCUUCAACUCCUGGGAAGCUGUAGGCAAGGACAUAGCCAAGGCAAAACCAUCAAGAAUGUAAUUCACCAACAGAAACAUUCACUGACCACCCUCGGGGCCUGAAGGUCUUUCCAAAGGUGAGUCAGAGUGGGUGCUUGGAUGCUGAUCUGGGGAAAAGGGGAAGCUGCCCUGAGCUGAAGAGUGUCCCUGCCAAAUUCAUGUCCACUGGAACCUCAGCGUGUGACUUAGCUGAAAACAGGGCCCUGCCAUCUCAUACUGUCCUCCUCGGUCACACUGGCUGGAGGCAAAGCCCUCUCCCCUGUUUCCGGAAAUCUCCAACCCUGUGCACCUUUUAUCAGUCUUCACUUGGGUGGAUUUUUCUGUUCUCUAGAGCUCAACUCCAACCGCCCCUUUGCCAAAGGGCUUCCUUGAGAGCUGUUCUGGCAGCCGAGGCUCCUCCCUCUCCUGCUCCUUGCUGCUGAGCACAUGAUGAACUUCAAACAAUAGCGAAGUCAGGAGCCAGGCGCUGAUGACCCCCAGGAGGAAGCUUGCAGAGGAUGAUGGGACAGAGGGGGAUGGGCAGGAGUCUAAGCAGGCGCUCAGGGAGGCCGCUUUCGUCAAGGAUGCUGAAAGAAUGGGGGUCUCAUGGAUUCUGGGAGAGAUGGUCCAAGGCAGAGGGACAGCCAGUGUGGGCCUGGAAAGAUGUGUGCCGCAUGUCUGAGGGGCAGGGGCCAAUGUGGCUGGAGGUAGAUGGGAGAGGAGGACACUAGGGGCUGAGGUCAGAGGGGACACAACUGGAUCUGUGCGAGACCUUGCAUGCCACUGAAAGGGCGCUGGCUGUCACUGUCGUGACCAGAGCCUCUGGGCAGGUCUUCACAGAGGUCAGGCUGACUGCACUUGCGGAUGGAUUGAAUAGCAGUAGUUAGAGGACAGCAUGCAUGGCUCAGGGAGGAUUCCCAGGAUUUGGGAUGCACAGCUGGAAGAAGGGAGGAGCUCCUGAAUGAGGAGUGGGAGGUCCGGGAAGGGCAGCCUUGGUGGGGAGAGACGCCGGGACCUGCAGAGAAACUCCCUGAAAAGAACAGGGCUGAGCCAUCUUUACCCCAGGCUCAGGACCUUCCUUCGCUGUAACUGCCAGGACAAUCCACUGUGCUGUCACUCAGAGAGCGAAACCAGCCUGACUUUGCACCUGUGUCUCCAAGGGAUAAAGGUCAAUGUCACAGCAGACUCCACUCUGAUGCUGUCUUCAAGCCAAAACCUUAAUAUUCAAUGAGAAAUCUGCAUUGAUGAAAUUUUCAUUAAACAAACUUUAUCCCUCUCACUCCUCUUGUUAUUCGUGGCUUUAAGUAUCAGGCUAAUUUAGGCUUGAUGCCCCAGUGAUCUGCAGAUUGGAGCAUUAUUAAACAUUUAGAUGAGCAAUGAUGAGCCUGAGCCUCCCUCUCCUCUCUCAGCUGGAGCACAGGGGGCUCUGCUAAUGAUCACAAUGGAUUUGGGGCAGACACAGCAAUUAGAGAAUUAUCUAUAGUUUGAGCAAGAUUUGACCCCUCUGUCUUCAAGGGAAAUUAGCUGCUUGACUUACAGAGCACACAAUUUAAUUGAUAAAAUGUAUGAAAAGAAAAUUCCAGCCUUAGAGCCAGUUUUACAACUAACAAGCUGUGCAAAUGCCUGAGCAGACCCCUCUUUCUUUCUGUACCUCCUCUUGCCCCAUCCGUAGAGUAAGGAGGGCUAGACCAGGGCAGAGGCUUCCACAUGUGGGCUGUGGGCUGAAAUCAGCCUGGAGAGGGGCUCUGUCUGGCAAACUGUUUCAUUUGUUUGUUUAGUGAACACUUUCCUAGCACUCAUGAUUUUGGGUUCUGUGUGUUUCAUGUAUGUUAACUUGUCUCAUUCUCCCAAUACCCCUUGAGAUAGGCACUCUUAUUAUUCCCAUUUUAGAGAUGGGAAAACUCUGACCAAGAGGGGUUCAAUGCCUUACUGUGGGUCAUCUGCUGGGCAGGAGUAAGGCAGGGUUUGGACCCAGAUGGUCUGGUUCCACAGCCUAUGCUAUAAACUUCUGUGCCAAACUGUUUUUAUUAUUAUUAUUAUUAUUAUUAUUAUUGGAGGCAUAAUGUUUAAAAUGAAAUUGUCAGAAAUUUAAGUGUGUGUGUUCUUGACAUCAAACAGCUUAUAUGUUACAAUAACGGAGCUCUCCCAAUACUCAGUCCGCCUUCCUAUCUUGCCACAGGCAGCUAUUACCAACGUGCCCUUAGGGUGGAACAUUCUCCUCCUGGUCUACCUCAGUCCCUCCAGUCCUAGAGUCUCCCCAUCACCACGGCCAAAUAUAGCUCAUCUUUGAUAACUGAAUUUACCCUCUUGAUCAUGCUUGGAUUGCUUCAUUGUUUGACUUACCUGCUUGGUGCUGGUAGGCAUUUAGGAGUUGUUUGAAGGCAUCAGAAAGCAACCCAGGCUGCCAGGACUUGAGGGUCCACGAUCCCAUGGAAAAGCGAACUGCAACGAGGUAAGCCCUACAUUCUCCUUGAAGCUAGUAGCCUUGAAUCUCCUUGAGCUAGUAGCCAAUUUGUAAGUGCAGAGGGGUUGAGAAAGCAGAAAGCAGUGGCUCAGAGUUGUAUGCCAAGUUCACAGAUCUGGGGAGACGAAAGUUGACAUUCAAGCUGACAAGAAAGCCAGGGUUUGAGGGACAGAGAUGUCAGAGAAAAUGGGACCCCUGACAGUGAGUCUGAAUUUCUGUAUCAGUGUUUGCUGAUCCAGAAUGAGAUGCUCAGAAGCCGAGCUGAAAGUGGGCCCCCAAAAGCUAAGAAACCAAGCAGUUUUCAUCAAUAUCAUGAUGCCGUAACAACAAAAAUUAGGGUUUAAGACUCAACAAACAGGAGUUCUGGAAAAUAUGCAAGUCUUUCAGUUGAGGUCCUCCAAGGAAUUGCCCUAGAAGAAAGAUCAAACCAAAAUAAAGUAGGCCUUAUAAAGACAGAAAAUCAGCCUUAAAUUACCUUAAUCCCAGAUUGAUUAAGGUAAUCUGUGCCUACCAUCGUGGUUGACAGAAGAAUUUAUUCUCUGGGAAAAGAUAUCAAGAGACACUCAGUUUUUCAAAUAAAAUAGCCAGAAGUCAUAAAAAAAAGUCAUCAGAAGUAUUAAUAACAGGAGCAGGUGCAAAUGACCAAAAACCAAGCAAUAAAAAAAAUAGACAACAAGAAAAGACCCACAGAUGAUUAGUUACUGAAAUGAUCAGAUACAAACUUUGAAAUAGCAAUUAGUGAUAUAUUAAUUUAAAAAAUGAAAAGCUGGAAAAUUUCAUCAGAAAAAUGGAAUUUAUAAAGCAGAAUCAGAUGAAUAGUCUCAAACUGAAAAAUAAAAUAACUAAAAUUGAAAAUACAAGUGAUAGGUACAUCAACAAUUUAGACAAAGCAGGAGAUAGGUGUGUUGAAAAUCUACAGGCUGAGGUAUGGCAUAAAAACUUUGAAAAUAUAAAAAAGAGCAUCAGAAAAUAUAGAAUAUGAUGAAAGAUCUAAAUACACGUAAUUGAAAUUCUAAGGCUGGGUGCGGGGACUCAUGUCUAUAAUCUCAGCACUUUGGGAGGCCAAGGUAGGUGAAUUGCUUGAGCCUAGGAGUUUGAGGCCAGCCCGGGCAACGUGGUGAAAUCCCGUCUCUAUGAAAAAU